ensembl:lncRNA
ACACACACACACACACACACACACAUACACACCCCAGUCACAGCACACACACACACACACAUACACACCCCAGUCACAGUACACACACACCCCCCAGUCACAGUACACAUACACACCCCAGUCACAGCACACACACACACACCCCAGUCACAGCACACACACACACACCCCAGUCACAGUACACACACACACACACCCCAGUCACAGUACACACACACACACACACAUACACACCCCAGUCACAGCACACACACACACACACCCCAGUCACAGCACACACACACACACCCCAUCCACAGCACACACAUACACACCCCAGUCACAGUACACACACACACACCCCAGUCACAGUACACACACAUACACACCCCAGUCACAGUACACACACACACACACCCCAGUCACAGUACACACACACACCCACACACCAGUCACACACACAUACACACCCCAGUCACAGUACACACCCCAGUCACAGUACACACACACACACACCCCAGUCACAGUACACACACACACACACACACACCCCAGUCACAGUACACACACAUACACACCCCAGUCACAGCACACACACAUACACACACUCCAGUCACAGUACACACAUACACACACCCCAGUCACAGUACACACACACACCCCAGUCACAGUACACACACAUACACACCCCAGUCACAGUACACACACAUACACACCCCAGUCACAGUACACACACAUACACACCCCAGUCACAGUACACACACACACACACCCAGUCACAGUACACACACACACACACCCCAGUCACAGUACACACACACACACACCCCAGUCACAGUACACACACAUACACACCCCAGUCACAGUACAAACACACACACACCCCAGUCACAGUACACACACACAUACACACCCCAGUCACAGUACACACACAUACACACCCCAGUCACAGUACACACACACAUACACACCCCAGUCACACACACAUACACACCCCAGUCACAGUACACACCCCAGUCACAGUACACACACACACACACACCCCAGUCACAGUACACACACACACACACCCCAGUCACAGUACACACACAUACACACCCCAGUCACAGCACACACACAUACACACACCCCAGUCACAGCACACACACAUACACACCCC